AGAGGGAGAAAAUCUGAGCUAUGAGAAAACAUUGAGUCUGUGCAUGUUUCUGACUUCUCAGAAAAUGGGAAGGUAAAAUAGUACCCUAUACAGGGAGGUCAACUUCUUCACUUCAUGACCCCAGGGACUUCAAAUGAUAUAACAGGUUCUUAGGACAAAAUGAAUGGAGUGAAUGAGUCCACGGUGUCAGAAUUUGUGCUUUUGGGACUUUCCCGCUCACAGAAUCUUCAGGAAGAUUCUCUAUGAUGAUGGUUGAGCAUGGCACUGAUCUUUCAUGCUUCUGAGUCCUCAGAAGAUGGGUAGGUAAAAUAACACAUGAUACGGGAAGGUCAGUUUCUCCAAAUCCACAUGGGAUUUCAAAGAAAACCAUAGAUUGUUUCUUAGGACAAAAUGAAUGAAGUGAAUCAGUCCAUGGUGUCAGAAUUUGUGCUAUUGGGACUUUCCAACUCACAGAAUCUUCAGACUAUCUGAGCCUUGGAGAAGAAGAUAGAGGCGCUUCCGUUAAAUUCUGUGUUUUCAUCUCAAUGGAUCAAAACCAGGGUCUGCACUCUAGGCAGGCAUCCUAAGACUGAGCUGCAUCCCAACACCAGAUGUUGACAUAGUCUAUUAUUUUUAAGAUUAAAAUCUUUGUUUCAUUUUCAAGUUAGGGUUUCUCUGUGUGUAGCCCUGGUUGUUCUGGACUCACAUUAUAGAUCUUACUGACCUCGAUCUCACAGAGAUACACCUGUUUCUGAUUUCUGAGUGCUGGGAUUCAAAGGUUUCUGCAACUAACAUGGAGGGGGGAACAGAAUGAUUUGGGGAUAUGGAAGGAGGAGGAGGAAAUAAGAGUGGCAGUAUGGGAAUCUGGAGGAGUCUUGAGAGAGCUAGAGAGGAUCAGGAAAUCUUUAAAAGAAAAUAUUAAUGUUAAAUAUUUUAAAGUAAAAAUAAUAAAUAAUAAGUCUUUAGAAUAUGAAAUUUUAAAUUUAAAACUUAAUCUACCAAGGUGUUAGUUGUGGACAUGUUUGAAUUCUUUAAAGUCUUGCUAGAACUCUGUGCAAAUGCUUGACCUGUAGAAUUGUAAAAUAUAUCUGCAACUAGUUUUAUGGCAUAAUGUCUAAAAUCAUUGUGUUCUAGUGGAUAUGUAUGUUGAAGCACCAUUAGCUUCAAUCUAUAAAGGCAUUUUCAAGAU
rnacentral:lncRNA from 1 species